CCAACCAGGCGGCUCUGUCACGGAAUGGGGAAAAGAAAGGAAAAAAGAAUUGCUGUGAAUCGGGAGAGCGAAAAGGAUUGUGUCCAUCAGAAAGCUGAAAGAACAAUGAUAAGCUCAGUAGCGCAGUACAACAGCUGACAAAACAUACACAGAAUGAGCGACAAUAGGAUUUUCGGAACAACAAAAGGAGUGCAGAAUCCUGCUGGUACAAGGACAACAGAUGGAACAAAGGACGUCACUGGGAUUAUGAUCUGACUGAACAGAGAGGGAGAGGGGAGCCGCUGCCUAACCGAGGGUCAGGAGGAGAUGUAGUACCCAGCCUGCUGCUGGGAAAGUUAAAA